AUUGAACGCUGGCGGCAGGCCUAACACAUGCAAGUCGAACGAGUGGCGGACGGGUGAGUAAUGUAUGGGAAACUGCGUGAUGGCGAGGGAUAACUACUGGAACCGGUAGCUAAUACCGCCUACCAUACGAUGUGCCCAGAUGGGAUUAGCUAGUUGGUUGGGUAACGGCUCACCAAGGCGACGAUCCCUAGCUGGUCUGAGAGGAUGACCAGCCACACUUGAACUGAGACACGGUCCAGACUCCUACGGGAGGCAGCAGUGGGGAAUAUUGCACAAUGGGCGCAAGCCUGAUGCAGCCAUGCCGCGUGUAUGAAGAAGGCCUUCGGGUUGGAAAGUACGUUCAGCGGGGAGGCGUUACCCGCAGAAGAAGCACCGGCUAACUCCGUGCCAGCAGCCGCGGUAAUAC
rnacentral:rRNA from 1 species